AGUAUUGUGGAUGAAAGGACUGAGUCCUUUGCAUCCUUUGUUCCCUUUAACCAUCCCAAGGAAAGAACUACACAUGUUAAAGAUCUAUCGUCAACUUCUUCCUUCUGACAAAACAUACAACAAAGAAAUGAAGGAGCAUGCUGAAAAUUAAUAUAGAAAUAGGGAAAGAGGAGAAACAUGAAAAAUAUGAGAUGCUUCCUUACACUUCUUUUCUAUCUUCCAAGCUACAGGAGAAACAUGAAAAACGAGAAUCGUGAAAAAUAUGAGAUGCUUCUUGUUCAGUUGAGUCUUUUCUAUCUUUCAGGCUAUAGGAGAAACAUGAAGAAUAUGGGAUGCUUCUUGUUUGGCUGAAAAACAUUCUUGGGCAAUUGCAUCUACAAGUGGUCAUUCUGGAUAUGGCAUGCUGAAAAGACUACAGCUCCAACAUGUUCAAAAUUAAAUAUUUCCUUUAGUUGUCCUCAUAAAAAUAUGUAGUUAAAUCAAAGAGCUUCUGUACUACACCUUUAAACUUCGUGGACAUGUAUAGUAUGGAAGAGUUUGGGCCAGUUUAAGUACUUCACUAUGAGGCUGUAGUGUUAGAGAAAUUAGCAUCAAUAUUCAAUAAUGGUUAUGUUGUAUCCAUGGUAUGGUUUUUUGGUUGUGGAGAAACUCCUACAUCAUUUUGUAAGAUACAAAACAUUGGAAAUAAGUAUAAUUAAUAUGUUAUUUCUAGUCAA